GUCUGGCAAGAUGCUGUCGGGAUGGAAGCAGGAACUAUCUGUGCUUGUUCAUGGGGAAUUUCCUGGGCUCUGAGGCUGCAGUGCCAGCCUGCGUGUGAGUGUGCCCACAGCAGCCUGGCCUGUCCUCACUCCACCAGGAAAUGGUGAAUGUCACCAGGAAAACAGAGGCCCCAACUCCAGAGGAUUCUGCUGGAGUCUGCUGUGGUUGCACUUCUGUUGAGAGGAAGGAAUCCAGCUCUGCUGUGCCUCUUCUCAAGUCCCAUCUCUAGCAAUACCUCCUGUCCUUGCCAGAUGAGCCGCAGGUGCAGACCGGCAAUCACAACAGUUGUCACUUGGUGGAGCCAGAUUUCUCUGCAAAUGGAAAACGCCUUACGAGUGGAAAAGUUCUCCAAGUCACGAUUUUUAAACAACAGAUUGGAGAAAGAAAGAUGGGAAUCAGAGGACUUAAAUGUUUUCAUAAAUCAAAAUUUUUACAAUUUUGCUCUUAGUUACUCUGUCAUAGCCUUGUCAGCUGAGGAAACUGUCACUACCAUGCAUUGAAAUAGGACAGAAAUUAAGCUGAGAUACAUUUGGGAAUUUAUGUGUAAACAUGUAAGAUGCUACCAAAAGCUGUCACUUUUUGGUUUUACACAGUUCAAACAAAUUCAGAAUGCUGAUGCUAAAUUGUUGCUAAACUGAUGAGAUCCUGCUACUAAUGAUAGGUUUUUAAAAUAUAUCUGCCAUUUUUUCCCAUUUCUAUCAAUUUCUCUUAAUGCAAGUAAGAAAGGACAGAAGGUAUUUAUAGUAUAACAGACAGAAUAUCCCAAGAGGAAAAAAUUAGAGGAUGCUAAACUAUAAACACCUUCUCUACACUGGGCUCACAUUAGCAUGUUUCUUUUUUUGACCACCUGUAAUGGACAUUUUAAUUAAAGAAGUGUGAUUAAAUAAAAGCUUAUUUGGCUUCUGAUUUUGUGUUACAUUUAUUAUAAUUUCUGUAUCAGCUCAGAG
rnacentral:lncRNA from 1 species